rnacentral:misc_RNA from 1 species
AAGUCGUAACAAGGUUUCCGUAGGUGAACCUGCGGAAGGAUCAUUAAUGAUUUUAGCUAACCAUGGCUAUUUUAGUCAUGGUUAUGCGAAAUUUUGUAUUUAAAACCCCACUCUUAUAAUAAAAAUUUUAUUAUAUUUAUGAUAAAAAUAAGAUCACUUUCAACAACGGAUCUCUUGGCUCUC